UACAGAGGGUGCAAGCGUUAAUCGGAAUUACUGGGCGUAAAGCGUGCGUAGGCGGUUUGUUAAGUCUGCUGUGAAAUCCCCGGGCUCAACCUGGGAAUGGCAGUGGAUACUGGCAAGCUAGAGUGUGUCAGAGGAUGGUGGAAUUCCCGGUGUAGCGGUGAAAUGCGUAGAGAUCGGGAGGAACAUCAGUGGCGAAGGCGGCCAUCUGGGACAACACUGACGCUGAGGCACGAAAGCGUGGGGAGCAAACAGG
rnacentral:rRNA from 1 species